UAUAUACAUAUAAAAGUGUUAUUUUUGUCAAGUUUUUUUUAUUAAUUAAACAGUGCUUAUAUCAUCAAGAAUAAAUCCGGAAUGUCGAUCUAGGAGAUCUCAUCUCGGUGCGAUCGCGCGCGGAUGAUGACAGCAUCCGGCGCUCGCGAUGACGUCAUACGGCGGGGGCAACGGCGGUGAUGAUCGCGUACGAUGACGUCGACAAUGAUCGCGGACCGGCAGCAGAAGGAGAUGGAAUGAAAGACUCGCGAUGCGUUCGAUCACGUUGGAUCUUAAGCAAUGUUCUUCGAUCGCGAAAUGCUUGAGUGUGCGUAGUGACAUCAUCUGAAUGGGUUACACCUGUGUGGAGCGGCCACCGUGCAUUCCGGAAUCCUGGAAUGCGCGAUAGUCAAUCUGCACAUUUCCAAUUGAAAAGUUUCCAAGAGUACAUCUUCAUCGAUCGGUGAGAAGUCUCUAUAGCUUUAUAUAAAUCAUAUGAUGCAGAAUGUUAUCGUCGCAAAAUAUUGGUGGAAAGCCUGAAUUUAUCAUAAGUAUUGCGAAUAAAGCAAAAUAAUUUAGGGAAAGAUGUUCUGAUUUCGUGGAAAUUAUAUAAUUCCUUU